rnacentral:rRNA from 1 species
GAAACCAACAGGGAUUGCCUCAGUAACGGCGAGUGAAGCGGCAAAAGCUCAAAUUUGAAACCCUCGGGAUUGUAAUUUGAAGAUUUGGCAUUGGAGAAAGCUAACCCAAGUUGCUUGGAAUAGUACGUCAUAGAGGGUGACAACCCCGUCUGGCUAACCGUUCUCCAUGUAUUGCCUUAUCAAAGAGUCGAGUUGUUUGGGAAUGCAGCUCAAAGUGGGUGGUAAACUCCAUCUAAAGCUAAAUACUGGUGAGAGACCGAUAGCGAACAAGUACUGUGAAGGAAAGGUGAAAAGAACUUUGAAAAGAGAGUGAAAUAGUAUGUGAAAUUGUUGAUAGGGAAGGAAAUGAGUGGAGAGUGGCCGAGGUUUCAGCCGCCCCUCGUGGGCGGUGUACUGCCGACGCCGAGUCAUCGAUAGCGAGACGAGGGUUACAAAUGGGAGCGCCUUCGGGCGUUCUCCCCUAACCCUCCACACUGCCACCGAC